rnacentral:rRNA from 1 species
AUGAUGGAUGCCGGCGAGAUCGUCCAUUUCGCCUCCCCGUCCUACGACCAGAUGAAUUGCGGCGUCCAGAUGGCAGCCAAGAAGGCGGCGUCAUUGUUACAAGACAAAAUGGUUGGUGAAGGAGAUGUGCCUGGUAGUGAAACAGAGGUUCAUAUUUUCUUUAUCUUUUAUCCUAUGACCAUUUAUUUAUGCUCUUUCUUUUACCAUCUCAGUAGUUCAAACUUUUUUGUUCAUUGUAGGGUUCUCCAAAUAGGACCUCUCGGCGGGACUCAAAACGGGCUGCUAAGCGGAAUGAGCUGGCAUUCUCAGACUUUUCUAGUUGCACAAGAGUACGUGAUUAGUUGGCAUCCUCAGCAUUUCUAG